GAUGAACGCUGGCGGCGUGCCUAAUACAUGCAAGUCGAACGCAUAGCGAAAGGUGCUUGCACCUUUCAAGUGAGUGGCGAACGGGUGAGUAACACGUGGACAACCUGCCUCAAGGCUGGGGAUAACAUUUGGAAACAGAUGCUAAUACCGAAUACAACUUAGUGUCGCAUGGCACAAAGUUAAAAGGCGCUUCGGCGUCACCUAGAGAUGGAUCCGCGGUGCAUUAGUUAGUUGGUGGGGUAAAGGCCUACCAAGACAAUGAUGCAUAGCCGAGUUGAGAGACUGAUCGGCCACAUUGGGACUGAGACACGGCCCAAACUCCUACGGGAGGCUGCAGUAGGGAAUCUUCCACAAUGGGCGAAAGCCUGAUGGAGCAACGCCGCGUGUGUGAUGAAGGCUUUCGGGUCGUAAAGCACUGUUGUAUGGGAAGAACAGCUAGAAUAGGAAAUGAUUUUAGUUUGACGGUACCAUACCAGAAAGGGACGGCUAAAUACGUG
rnacentral:rRNA from 1 species